UACGUAGGAGGCAAGCGUUGUCCGGAGUACUGGGCGUAAAGCGCACGCAGGCGGUCGCAUCAGUCUGGGGUGACAGUUCCCGGCUUAACCGGAAAAGGACUCUGGAAACUGUGCGACUUGAGGGCUUCAGAGGGAUGUGGAAUUCCAGGUGGAGUGGUGAAAUGCGUAGAUAUCAGGAGGAACACCGGUGGUGUAAACGGCUUUUUCUGGACCAUAACUGACGCUGAGGCACGAAAGCGUGGGUAGCAAACAGG
rnacentral:rRNA from 1 species